rnacentral:RNase_P_RNA from 1 species
ACACCCGGGUAACCGCUGGGCAACCAGAGGAAAGUCCAUGCUCGCACCGCCUGUGAUGGCGGUAGUGUUUGUGCUAAAUGAAACGAUAAAUUUAGGCAGAGCAAUCUGACGGCCGAUCAAAUCCUAAAGCGAAAGCCAUGGAUGGCGUCUGUAAAAGUGCCACAGUGACGUAGUCUUUGGGGAAACCCAAAGAGUGGAACGAGGUAAACCCCGCAAGCGAGAAACCCAAAAUUGGUAGGGGAAUUCACAAAGACGAAACGAAGUCUGAGUGGGGCACGGCAACGUGCAGAUAAAUGGUUACCCCCUUGUAAAAGGGACAGAACAUGGCUUACAGGG